rnacentral:misc_RNA from 1 species
UACGGAGGGGGCGAGCGUUAUUCGGAAUCAUUGGGCGUAAAGGGCGCGUAGGCGGCUGUGUAAGUCAGGGGUGAAAUCCCUCGGCUCAACCGAGGAAUUGCCUCUGAAACUACACGGCUUGAGUCCGGGAGAGGGUGGUGGAAUUCCCAGUGUAGCGGUGAUAUGCGUAGAUACUGGGAGGAACACCGGUGGCGAAGGCGGCCACCUGGACCGGUACUGACGCUGAGGCGCGAAAGCGUGGGGAGCAAACAGG